GGCCCAAAUUUCAAGUAAAGUAGGUUAGUAGGAUUGUCCGAUCCCACUAAAGUACUUUACUUGAAGUUUGUGCCC
rfam:Haemonchus contortus, ISE/inbred ISE, WGS project CAVP01000000 data, contig: Hcontortus_37656